rnacentral:rRNA from 1 species
UACGAAGGGGGCUAGCGUUGCUCGGAAUUACUGGGCGUAAAGGGCGCGUAGGCGGCUCUGUUAGUCAGGCGUGAAAGCCCUGGGCUCAACCUGGGGACUGCGCUUGAUACGGCGGGGCUUGAGGGCAGGAGAGGCUCGCGGAAUUCCCAGUGUAGAGGUGAAAUUCGUAGAUAUUGGGAAGAACGCCGGUGGCGAAGGCGGCGAGCUGGCCUGUUACUGACGCUGAGGCGCGACAGCGUGGGGAGCAAACAGG